rnacentral:lncRNA from 10 species
UGAAGCACCAGUCUAUGCUCUGUAUCUCGCCUUCCACUUUUCAAGGCAUCACUCUGAUGAAGAUCUCCUCCUUCAGCUGUGCUCUCCAUGGCCUCUGAACAUAUAACAUAGUCCUAGCUCACCCAAAUGAAACAAACAGGACAAAGAAGAUCUGCUUCAAAAUGAUGGCUCUCUCAAUGGAGAAACCUGAAAAUGGCUGACAUCCUUUAAAGAAGACAGAUUCACACACACACACACACACACAC